rnacentral:tRNA from 1 species
GGGGUUGUGGCUCAGAGGAAGAGCGCUUGCCUAUUAGUAUGAGGCACUGGGUUUGAUCCUCAGCAACACAU